AUUGAACGCUGGCGGCAGGCCUAACACAUGCAAGUCGAGCGGAUGAAGGGAGCUUGCUCCUGGAUUCAGCGGCGGACGGGUGAGUAAUGCCUAGGAAUCUGCCUGGUAGUGGGGGAUAACGUCCGGAAACGGGCGCUAAUACCGCAUACGUCCUGAGGGAGAAAGUGGGGGAUCUUCGGACCUCACGCUAUCAGAUGAGCCUAGGUCGGAUUAGCUAGUUGGUGGGGUAAAGGCCUACCAAGGCGACGAUCCGUAACUGGUCUGAGAGGAUGAUCAGUCACACUGGAACUGAGACACGGUCCAGACUCCUACGGGAGGCAGCAGUGGGGAAUAUUGGACAAUGGGCGAAAGCCUGAUCCAGCCAUGCCGCGGGGGUGAAGAAGGUCUUCGGAUUGUAAAGCACUUUAAGUUGGGAGGAAGGGCAGUAAGUUAAUACCUUGCUGUUUUGACGUUACCAACAGAAUAAGCACCGGCUAACUUCGU
rnacentral:rRNA from 1 species